GAUCCUGGCUCAGGAUGAACGCUAGCUACAGGCUUAACACAUGCAAGUCGAGGGGCAGCAUGGUCUUAGCUUGCUAAGGCCGAUGGCGACCGGCGCACGGGUGAGUAACACGUAACCAACCUGCCGUCUACUCUUGGACAGCCUUCUGAAAGGAAGAUUAAUACAAGAUGGCAUCAUGAGUCCGCAUGUUCACAUGAUUAAAGGUAUUCCGGUAGACGAGUGGGGAUCG
rnacentral:rRNA from 1 species